CCUACGGGAGGCAGCAGUGAGGAAUAUUGGUCAAUGGCCGAGAGGCUGAACCAGCCAAGUCGCGUGAGGGAAGACGGCCCUACGGGUUGUAAACCUCUUUUGUCGGGGAGCAAAGCGAGUCACGUGUGACUCAUUGAGAGUACCCGAAGAAAAAGCAUCGGCUAACUCCGUUCCAGCAGCCGCGGUAAUACGGAGGAUGCGAGCGUUAUCCGGAUUUAUUGGGUUUAAAGGGUGCGCAGGGGGAGGUGCAAGUCAGCGGUAAAAUUGCGGGGCUCAACCCCGUACUGCCGUUGAAACUGGGUGCCUUGAGUGCGCGAGAGGUAGGCGGAAUGCGUGGUGUAGCGGUGAAAUGCAUAGAUAUCACGCAGAACUCCGAUUGCGAAGGCAGCAUACCGGCGUGCAACUGACGCUCAUGCACGAAAGCGUGGGUAUCGAACAGGAUUAGAUACCCUUGUAGUC
rnacentral:rRNA from 1 species